UCUCCUGUAGCUCAGUUGGUAGAGCGCACGGCUGUUAACCGUGAGGUCUCUGGUUCGAGCCCAGGCGGGAGAG